CUCCUACGGGGCGCAGCAGUAGGGAAUUUUCGUCAAUGGGCGCAAGCCUGAACGAGCGAUGCCGCGUGAGUGAAGAAGGCCUUCGGGUCGUAAAGCUCUGUUGCGGGGGAAAAAAGGCAGCAUCAGGAAAUGGGUGCUGACUGAUGGUGCCCCGCCAGAAAGUCACGGCUAACUACGUGCCAGCAGCCGCGGUAAUACGUAGGUGGCGAGCGUUAUCCGGAUUUAUUGGGUUUAAAGGGUGCGCAGGCGGCACGGCAAGCCGGCGGUCAAAUCGCGGGGCUCAACCCCGCCCAGCCGUCGGAACU
rnacentral:rRNA from 1 species